UUCGCUUGCUGUGUGACUCUGACCUCUCCCCUUCCAGGCAAAAUUUCACACAGACUGGCUUAGCCUAGCCCUCCUGGAGCAGGAGGUGAAUGUUCUUGUAACAGCUCCAUCUGAUUCUGGUACUUGAGGUGGGAACCUUGAAGAGGAGGCACUUCAUGACAGAUGAAAAGCCUUGCAGGGGAUUCUGGGCACUUUCCCAUCAGCCUGUGCUGCCUCCAGAGACUAAGACUCUGGGAAAGAAGCUAUGACGGUUGUAGGAGCUGCCAGCCUGUUAGAAGCUCUCCUAAUGGAUUACUGAUGGCUGCGCAAGGCUGACCUGGCAGCACAGCCUGCUGUUUUACUACAGCCAUCACUUGGACUGAACCCAACAUGUCACCUCACUAAGUGGGGGCCGUGAGCAGCAUUUUUCUAACUUCUGAUCAAUUAUCCAUAUCAUGUGAUUCCCAGAGCUCUAUUUAUGUCAAGUCUGUGACUUGGAACCUUCAGGAAGGAGUUAAACAUCCUCGUUUUCUUUUCCCCAGGUGAGGAAAAGAGAAACAUCUUCGAUAUGGUGAUUUAAGAGAGAAACCUAUAUUGUUAAACAUUUUCAUGCUUGAUGAAAUAAACUUUUCAAAGUAAUAUGGAAAAAAUGAUUUCACUUGGACACCUUUUAGCCAAAGAAACACACGAUGCUUGUUAGGAAUGGAGCGGGAACUGCAGAGCCUGCCCGUACAUCUGGGCCCCACAGAGGCUGCCUGGGACCAAUCUGUUGUGGAGGAAGUGGGAACCUUACAGACAGAAAGACAGACAGACAGGCAGACAUACAGACAGACAGACUGACUGGUGUUCUGGGGGAAAGCCCAGGCCAGGCUGCUGAGGUUGGCAGGGCCCUAACUGCAGAAGGUCUUCGAGCCAAGCACAAAUAUCCUCUGGGGAGCCUGAAGCCCUGCCACCCAACCUUAAGGUUCCAGAAUCCAAAGCCAUGACGACUAAUAGAGCUUCUGUGUGUUCAGGCUGCCUGUAGAUCCAGACCAUAGAUACAUGCCAAGGAAGAGGACCCUUCUCUCAUUCGCUCCUACUUCAUGUUACCACAUCAGGAAAAAUCAUCACGGGUGAACACACACGGGGCCUCAGCGUCAGCUCAGCUGCUUUGCAAAGCUAGAAGAAAGGAAAGAUGCGGUCUCCUUCCAAGAACUGUGGAGAAGAGUAUGAGACAAAGGCAGUUGUUUAUUAAGAGAGAUUUAUUGUGAGCCUACUAUGUGCCAGCCAGUCAGGUCAAGAGGUAUAAACCAGCUGCAGAGUGUACAGCGGGACUGGUCCAGGUGAAGAGAUUCUGGCCUCGAGCCCUUGUUUUGUAACAUAGUGAGUCUCAGAGAAACCAACCUGGGUCUUCAAUCAAGUCAGCCCUGCCUUCUGGGAAUGCUCAAAGCCUGGCUACAUGGGAGAAAACAAACAGUAUAGAGGCUUUCUUGCCCAGCGUGUCUCAGCACUUGUCUGCAUGGUGGUCUGUGGGACGCUAGUUUUCUUCCCAUGUCACAUGUGAAGAGACAGACACUUCCGUGACAGAAUUGCAUGCUGGGUCACACCUGGAUAAGUGAGCGAUUAGUGAAAUCCCAGCAGUGAGCAGCUAUCCUGGUUUGUCUGUGAUUGUCAGGUGUCCUAGGAUGUGAGACAGGUGACAAUGGUGGAGCAAAGGGAAACAGUUGGUCUCUAAAAGUGUGGCUUCGAUAGCCCGUGUGCCAAGCUGUUAACUAUGUCCUUAUCUCUAUAGAAGCUUGCCUUGGGGAUUAAACAGGGGUAACAUCUGAAAGCUAUAAUUACCUGGUUUGGUUCUCAGUAAGCUUCAGUGGAUAUGAACAUUUGGUGGUAUAAACUCCAUUUCUGCUCUCUGGUCGGGGUGAGAAAAGGGAAGUCAGCCUGACAGGAGGGAAAUUACAGCUUUAACAAAGUAAGGACCUUAUUGUCCACACAAAAUGCAGCUCCCACCUCAAAGCAAAUGACUAUUCUUGAGGCACUGAUGCAGUUGCCAUGGUACCAAGUGAUGAUUGCCUCUUCAAAGCUGCUCUUUGGGUACCCCCUUUGGCAGAAGGGAUGGUGUGGGCAGUGUUCAGACUGGGAAAAGGCCAAACACAGCUACUGGACAACAAGUGAGCAGGGGAGCACCAGCUAAAACCUUGGCAGAGACUGACUCAAAUCUACACCUUCAGAGAGGAGCAGGUCUUGCACCCUGGGAAGCCUGUUGGGGCCCGCACAACAGCAAGUGUCAGCAGAAUUUCUGCUUGCUGUCUAGGAUUACUACAACUUAGCUAUUCUGGCUACUGGGUCCUUUUAACUUUGACAAUGUGUUUCAAAAUAUUGAGGUGGCUUCAAUAAGCCCAUGGGAAAUCGCAAUAUUAGGAAGUGUGGCAUUAUUAGAGGGGGUAUGGUCUUGUUAGAGGAAGUAUGUCAUAUGAGAGUGGCCUUUAAGGUCUCCUAGUACUCAAGCUCCACUCAAGUGUGGAACCGAGCCUCCUCCUGGAUACCUAUGAAAGAGAGUCUCCUGCUGCUGCCUUCAGAUGAAGAUGUCGAACUCUCAGCUCCUCCAGCACCAUGUCUGCCUGGAUGCUGCUAUGCCUCCCAAGAUGAUAAUGGACUGAACCUCUGAAACUGUGAGCCAGCCCCUUAAAUGUUGCCCUUUAUGAGAGUUUCCUUAGUCAUGGUAUCUCUCCACCACAAUGGAAACCCUACCUAAAACACCUUUGCAGAACCUUCUCCAAGUUGAUCAUAUACUCAGCCAUAAAGUAAGUCUCAACAGAUAAGAGAAAAUUGGAAUAACCCCCUGUAUCUUAUCAGACCACUGUGGAUUAAAGCUAGACUUCAACAACAAUAGAAGUGACAGAAAGCCUACAAACUCAUGGAAACUGAAUAACUCUCUACUCAAUGACCACUGGGUCAGAGAAGAAAUAAAGAAGGAAAUUAAAGACUUUCUAUAAUUCAAUGAAAAUGAAUACACAACAUGCCCAAACUUAUGAGACACAAUGAAAGUGGUGCUAGGAGCAAGGUUCAUAGUACUAAGUGCCUACAUAAAGCUAUUAGUGAGAUCUUAGACUAGGGACUUAACAGCACACCUGAAAGCUUGAGAACCAAAAGAAGCAAACACACCCAAGAAGAGUAGACAGCACGAAAUACUCAAUCAGGACUGAAAUCAAUUAAAUAGAAACAAAGAGAACAAUACAAAGAAUUAAUUAAACAAAGAGGUGAUUCCUUAAGAAAAUCAAUAAGAUACACAUACCCUUAGCCAAACUAGCUAAAAGGCAAAAAGAGAAUAUCCAAAUUAGCAAACUCCAAAAUGAAAAGGGAAACAUAACAAAAGACACUGAGGAAAUCCAAAACAUUAUUAAAUAGUCUUACUUCAAAAACCUGUACUCCACAAAAUUGUAAAAUAUAAACAAAAUGAAUAAUUUUUAAUAGAUAGCACUUACCAAAGCUAUCUCAAGAUGAUGUAAACAAUCUAAAUAGACCCAUAACCCAUAUGAAAAUAGAUGCAGUCAUUAAAGGUCUCCAAAAACCCAAGCAAACGAACAAACAAGCAAAAUCAAAAACACCUCAGGGUCAGAUCGUUUUAGUGCAGAAUUCUACUAGGCCUUCAGAGAAGUUCUAAUACCAACACUUCAAAUUAUUCCACAAAACAGAAUCCAAAGAAAUACUGCCAAAUUCAUUUUAUGAGGCCAAAGUCACCCUGAUACUUAAAUAACACAAAGACUCAACAAAGAAAAACAAUUUCAGACCAAUCUCCCUUAUGAACAUUGAUGUAAAAAUACUUAAUAAAAUACUUGCAAACUGAAUAAAAAAAAUCAUCAACCACUAUCAUGUAGAUUUCUUUCCAAGGAUAUAGGGAUGGUUCAGCAUAUAAAAAUCCAUCACUGUAAUCUACUGCAUAAACAAACUGAAUGAAAAAUGAUCUCAUCUCACUAGAUGCUGAAGAAGGCUUUAAUAAAAUCCAAAAUUAUUUCAUGAUAAAAGUCUUGGAAAGAACAGAGAUACAAGGCACAUACAUGAACACCAUAAAAGCAAUAUAUAGCAAGCUGAUAGCCAACAUCAAAUUAAAUGGAGAGAAACUUAAAUCAGGGACAAGGCAAGGCUGUCCACUCUCUUCUUGUAUAUUUAACAAGGUACUUGAAGUUUUAACUAGAGCAGUAAGACAGCCAAAGGAGAAUACAAAUUGGAAAGGAAGAAGUCAAAAUAUUUCUAUUUUCAGAUGAUAUGAUAGUAUAUAUAAAUAACCCCCAAAAUUCUAUUAGCGAACUCCUAUAGCUGAUAAACACCUUCAGAAAAGUGGCUAGAUACAAAAUUAACUUAUAACUCUAACCAAGCAAGUGAAAAACAAGGGCUUCAAGUCUUUGAAGAAAGAAAUUGAAGAAGACACUAGAAGAUGGAAAGAUUUCCCAUGCUCGUGGAUCUGUAGGAUUAAAAUAAUAAAAAUGCUCAUCCUACCAAAAGUAGUCUACAGAUUCAAUGUAAUUCCCAUCAAAAUUCUGAAACAAUUCUUUACAGACUUUGGAAGAACAAUACCCAAUUUCAUAUGGAAAAUAAAAAAAAAACAACCUAGGAUCACUUAAACAAUCAGACAUAAUAAAAGAACUUCUGGAGGGACAAAAGGUAAGAGGCUAAAUAUAUAUACAGACAGCCGUUAUGCCUUUGCCACGACACACAUCCAUGGGGAGAUCUACCGGAGGCGGGGGCUGCUCACAUCUGAGGGUAAAGAUAUGGCUAAAAUUCUGGCCCUCUUAGAAGCCCUAUUCUUGCCCAAAAGACUGAGUAUUAUGUAUUGUCCAGGACACCAGAAAGGGCACAACCCAGAGGCACGAGGAAACCGGCUGGCCAAUGCCACGGGGCGAGAAGCGGCCAUGAGCAAACAAAUCUUGCCCUUAAAUAGCCCAGACCAACCCACGCCCCCACCAGUGGGACAAACCAGUUGGGUUUAUGCCCAUGAGGACAUAGAGCUCCUAAAAAAAUGGGGGCCAUCUACCACCCUCAACUAAAACAGUGGGUCUACAAAGGACUUUUGAAUUGAUCUCCUUUUUACAUAAAUUAACCCAUUUGGGGUUUAAGAAGAUGAAAACCUUACUAGAUUGGGAAGAGAUAAAUCUGUGUUUUUUUGAAUCGGGACAAAGCGAUACAAAAGGUGACUGAGAGUUACAAAGCGUGCGCUCAGGUUAACCCGGAAAGGACCAUGAUUGGACAAGGAGUUCGUCCUAGGGGACACCGUCCCGACAUCCAUUGAGAAAUUGAUUUUACUGAAAUUAAACCAGGUAUAUAUGGAUACAAGUAUCUCCUAGUGUUUGUAGACACCUUCUCAGGAUGGGUCGAAGCCUUCCCCACAAAACACGAGACUACAAAAAUGGUCACCAAGAAGCUCCUCGAGGAAAUCUUUCCCAGGUAUGGCAUGCCUCAAGCGUUGGGGUCGGACAAUGGGCCCGCUUUCGUCUCCCAAGUAAGUCAGUUGGUGGCCAAAUUGCUGGGGAUUGAUUGGAAAUUACAUUGUGCCUAUAGACCCCAGAGUUCAGGUCAAGUAGAACACAUGAAUAGAACAAUUAAGGAGACUUUAUCCAAACUUACGCUUGCAACUGGCUCAAAGGAUUGGGUGGCCCUCCUUCCCCUAGUUCUAUAUCGGGCCCGAAAUACCCCGGGCCCCCAUGGUCUAACUCCUUUUGAAAUAAUGUAUGGAGCACCACCCCCAUUUGUCCAUUUCUUUGAUUCAAACAUUGCUGAUUUUGCUGACAGCCCUUCUCUGAGGGCCCAUUUACAGGCCCUACAGAUUGUGCAGAGAGACGUCUGGAGACCUUUGGCCGCUGCUUACCAGGACAAGCUUGAACAUCCGGUGGUGCCACACCCAUUCCAGAUUGGAGACACCGUGUGGGUGCGCAGACACCAGACCAAGAAUCUCGAGCCACGGUGAAAAGGACCCUACACCGUCCUCCUGACUACCCCGACCGCCCUAAAGCAUCACUGAGACCCACAAGUUGUGACUGGUCACCCAGCUCUGGGGAAUGUCCCCAUAAUAGAACUGCAGAUGUGCACAGACCAUGCCUGGCUCUGUUAUCUGGGUGCUGGGAAUCCUAAGACAGAACUUCAUGCUUGUACAGGAAGCAGAGGCAUGAAGCUAUGCUGUCCAUGAUCUCUACACCACACAGUCAGCCCCAAGUGUUGAGCAAAGAGACCUGAACCUUCCCAUGCCUUUGAUGUUCAAGGUUCCUACAGGCAUGAUCAUCCAUACUACUGAAGGGGCCAUGAGAGCAGUUCGUCCAUGCAAGCCCUACUGGACACAGGCAUCUCCACCCUGAAGACAGAAACUAAAAGACCUUCUUUCAAACUGAACUGGCCCUGGGCCAUGACUUUGAACCUGAUGCUGAGAUGACCCUGGGUGCUCAACCCACCUCAUGGAUGCUGAGAUGACCCUGGGUGCUAGACUUCUGUGAACCUAGUGGUGAGUGGCAAUGACACUGGAGUGUAUUAGAUAAAAGGAAGCUAGCUUUAGCACUAGAAACAACCUGUACUACAAGCAGACUCAAUGUAGCCCGGUCCUUUGUGCACAGAAUGUGUGAUACUAACCUCCUCUGAAUGGGCAGAAAAGUAAGGUCACUAAAUUUUUUACUCCCAGCUACUAAACAGUCCCAACUCUACAGGAUGUGAUAAUAUGCAAUAGGACACUUCAGAGCAGGCAGUGACACCUUUGAAACAACUACCAAAUAAAUACCCAAGAAAGUCCACUUUAAAUGGAAGCCCUGGGGUUAUCCUUUGCCCUAGAAGACCUGAAGUAUCAAUACCAGACAGCAGUGUCAAAGCAACUUCUCUUCUGCGGAGUGUGGUUGAGCAUUCCAUCUCAUUCUAUAGCUGAAGAGGGCCUGUGUGCUCUGUCAGGUAGAUGAAAACAUGCUCAUAAGACUCAAACACAAGAUGAGGUGUGAUAAUGUUCACAAAUGGCAAACUCUUCGAUAUAUACCAAUAAGACAUCAUGAAUAAGAAAUAGAAAUUGGAAUCAAAAGAAAUUCAGGUAAGCCACCAGCAUUCUCCUACGUGCUGUGUGGAUAAAUUAAACUAAGCACAAAUAUACUGACUGCACAUUGGCUAUUCAUGUGAGUUUCAUGAUCAACACAUGUUUUGAAUAUGCAAAGUCAUCUAGAGAAUAUUUAUUGGCUAUCCCCAUUGAUUAAGAUACUUCUAGUACUUGGGACAGAAACCAUUCGGUGAGCUUCUUGUCUCAGGACAGCUACACACAGGAUGGGUUAGCUAGGGAAGUUCAGGGAGUCUCCUGCAGGAGAACCCAUGCACUUGACCUUGAGGGAAUGGAUAGGUCAGGGAGAAAGGUGCGUAAGGGACUGUCUCUGACUCUUCUAGUGGCCAAUGUGAGUACACCCUACUAUCUAUCAGCAGAAUGAAACAGGCCCCCACCUGCAUCAACCACUGCAUGCAUCCAAAGCCUGAGAGAUGACCACAUCAUUAUGAAUUAGGCCUAGGAUACCCCUCCUUCCUCUGAACCUUGGAUUAUGGUCCAUAGUUCUCCCAUAAUUCUCUUCUCUGCCCUUGUCCAACUUAUGGUGGGUCUUUAAUCUCCCUUUCCUGGGGUUAAGUCACACUAGAAGAAGAGCCAUGAGUGACUUGUUCUCUGAUUCACUAGGGUAACUUUUGUUCCUAUUCUAUAUUCCCAUGGAGUAAUAGGAGAUGUGUUUACUUUGUUUUCUCUUGUAACAGGAUACCACUGAGUUGGUAAUCAAUGAACCAUAGAAAUGUAUCAAACUCACAGUGCUAAAGAUCAGGAGUGUGGUGACAGCACUUGGAAAGCGCCUUUAUGCUUCAUCAAAGAGAAUAGAAAAGAAAAACUUAAACGCAUUAUAAAGGUUCUGCCUCUUAGCAAUGGUUCAAUGGCAAGUCAACUUCAACACAAAUUAAGGAGGAGCAUCGACCACAGAAAGAGUGUAGACGCUAAGUACAACACCCCCAUGCAAGCCUUCUUCAGAUCAUAAAGAACAGAAGGCAGGUCAAACUUUCAUUCCUAUGUAACCCCUCAGACCCUGGCUCAGAACAAAUAUCUGAGAGUCAGUAUGGGAAGAGUAACAACAAAGACCCAGGCAGUCUUGUUUACUGACUGGGAAGGUAUUUCCUUGGCUUAUAAACAAGAUGUCUAAGAUGAGACGUUUAAGAUGUUUAUUUAGGUCCUUGAGCAAAUUUGAAAGUCAGGUUACUUUGUUUAAAGUGACUGCCAAUGGAACUUUCAAUCCUCUUGUCUUUGGUUUUUUGGAAGGUGGUGAAGUUUAUAGAUAUGGUGUGACUUUGAGAUGUUACUUAGCAUAAGGCUGGGUCAGGUUCUUGAGACUUUACCUGAGAGGGGUUAUACCACCCGAGUGUCACAUUUAUCCAACAUUACCUGUCUUCUGCAGUCCUCUUUCCAAACACUUCCUGCUGCUUUGUGAAUUGAGGGCAGAGACUUUCUCUCUGAACUAACACAACAGCCACCAUCUGCAUGAGAACAUUCUGGACUUGAAAUGUGUGGUCCAAGUUGAAAUGAGCUACAAGAGCAAAUAAACAGAGACUGCAAGACAUAGUAUAUACAGCAAGUAUACCAUAACUUGUUAACCUGACAUACUGGAGAAAGUGAAAUAAUAAAAUUAAUGUCAGCUAUUCUUACAUUUUAUUGUAUGUACUAGAAAAUUUUUACAUGAGACAUUUUGUUGGAACAAUGCUGGUUAGUAAUCAAAUAACUUUUCCAAACCAUGAUUUCAUUUAAAUUUAGAGAAAAGGAGAGCUCUAAGUUGGAAUGCAGCUGCCCGGAGUGUGUAGUAUUGAGGAAAACUUCCAUGCAUGAACAGAUUUAAAACCCAUGACCACCUAUAGAGAGGGGACUCUGGGUCUCCCCAGUAUACAAACAGACAUAGGACAUACAGAAAUGACAAGUCACCGUCGUUUUGGUAUGGCAAAGCUGGCAGUUAGCCCAGACCACAAGUCCUCAGUGUCUGAUUUUGUUAUGACUGGGACGUACCCUUGUGAACCUCUCAGAAUGUGGUUAGUAAUGGAGAUUCUCAUUUCAAAGGAAGUUUUAUCUUGGGUGACAUCUUUCUGGCUGACUUUGAAGCAACAGUGAGAAAACAUCCGAAUUCACUAUUAAUACAGCAUGAAUUCUAGAGCCAGCCAAGAUGGCUUCCUGAGGGUUGGCUUGGGGACCCGAUGAAGUUACUUUGCAAUGACUCUGGUGGGAAGUAUGAGUGACUGGGGACAUAGGGUGAUAAACCUUCCUAUCCAGCAAACCACAGUUAUACAGACACGGAGAGGAGACAGGGAAUAGCUGUCCAAUUGGGUUGUGGAAAAGCUCUGACAAUACGAGAAGGCUCUGCUGCAGAGGCUUGGCAUACAUUAAGGGCUUGAUAAACAUCUGCUCUUUCCUCUGGGCUUCCUUUGUUAAAAUCUUAAGUUAAAAGUUGCUAUUAAUGACUUAAAAGCACUGUAGGGCAAUGCACUCAGCACACCCAGGCACCAGCUACAUAGUGCAAUGCCCUCACAGUGACUUCAGAGAACCUUCUAGAGCUUUCCUCAAACAUAUCCAUGCUACAAAAGGUGUCGUUAUGUUGUUUUGUACACUAAAUCAAUGUUGUUAUGAUUUUAUUUUUCUCCCAAUUCCUGUGUACUGCUUUUUAGUUUAACAAAUUAAAAGACAUCUUGAGUAUACAUGACUUUCACUUACAGGUAGGUUGUGGCAUAUUACAGACAGAUAAAAUAUUUUUAAACAAUGCCUUAUCUUACCUAGGAGGUGAAUAGUAAGUUAGUGGGGUUUAUUAUCCAUUUUCCAGCCCCUCUACCCACAGUCUCGGAUGAUUUUCUAGAGUUGGUUUCCUUGGACUGUAUCCCUUGUUUUAAAUUCCAUUUUAUAAUAGCCCCUCUCUCCUGCUCUCUCUUAUUCUUUUCCUGUGUCCUUUCCCACAACGAUACAUAUGGAAUGGAGGAACAAAAGUGAGAAAAGACAGCAACACGCAGCUGCAGGAUGAGACCAGUGGAGCAAAGCUCAGCAAGGGUCACAAACAUCUACUGCUGCAGGGCCCUGUGUGCCUUUCCCAGGAGCUGUGCUUUUCCUCUGAGCGUCCCAGCAGGGAUGGCUUAACAAUUAAAAGGGUCCUCUAGGACAGUCAUCUGCUGUGGAGAUGAGGAUGCCCAAGCUCUGAGAGAGCCAUCAGCUAUAGAGAUGAGGAUGCUCACGCUAUUGUCUGAAGUCCUGUUGGCCUUGAUCUAUGAACUCUUCCUUCCUCAGAUCACAAUGCUCAUGAGAUUCAGUUUGAGAAGUAAACCCAGAAUCCUCUUCUGGAAAGGAAGAAAGAAAGAAAGAAAGAAAGAAAGAGAGAGAGAAAGAAAGAAGAGGAAAAAGAGAAGAAAAAGAAAGGAAGGAAGGAAGAAAGGAAGGAAGAAAGAGAAAAAGAAAACAAAAGAGAUUUAAAAUGUGGCUCUUAAGUAUGACAGAGCCCUGUGUAAUUUAGCACUCAUCUGCCUAGUGUGGGUCACAUGAGAGUUCAAGACAGUGGGACACCGUGAGACAAGUCACCAGAAACAGAUUUUUAGCAUGUUCUCUCUUGCUCUGUGUUCUAGUCAAGUUGUAGGAACACUUCUUUAUUCAAUUCCCUGCCAUUUCUCUCUCCAAGGGAGACCAUCUCACCAUUUGUAGGAUACACACUAUCCCUGGUAAAACUCCCAGAAGACUUCAUCUGUGGAUGUCUUUUAAAUAUCCACCUCCACUCUCCCUAAAGAUGAAACAACUUUACGUCUUCACAGGGCGAACUUGUCAACUUUUGUUGCCUUCUGUACACAGAGCCAUGUGGAUGCUCAAAUGUUCAUUAGCAUACAUCACAGAGCUCUGAUUCCCCAGAUGGUCUGCACGAUCAACAGGGUGGUGGGAUCAUUCUGCAUCCCUCUGGGGCACACAGUGCUGAUGCUGAAGUUUCCCUGUUUUCUGAGAUUGCAGAGCAAUCACUCUAGUCUUCCGCGAAGCUGCCUCGAGUCCUUGCCAGGGCCCACUCCACUGCCUGCUCUUGUCUAGAGCUUUUUCAUUUGCCCGAGGUGGGAGAGAUCUACUCCCCAAUCGCAUUUCCAGGCUGUGCCCAGGUGCCUUUCAUUCUCACCACACUCCUUCUGCCUUGUGGAUCUGAACUUCAGAGAUGUCCACGCAGCCUGCUGUCUCAGACACCCUGAGCGGCAUUCACUUUUACCCUCUCCUUCAAACUCAAAUCAUUUUUAUCUAGUGGCUGAUGGUCAGAAAACUGACUCUUUCAGAUCAUAGGAUCCUCAGAGUCUGGUGUUGCACAUCUGGACUUCAGACUGCACAGCUCAAAGACCAAGGAUUAAUGUUUUCUUUCUGUUCUCCACAAUUAUCCCUAAGGGCAACAGUGUCUCCAGAUCUCACCGGCUAACGAGGCGGUGGGCCAUGGAUUAACAGCAAGUAUGUGAAAGAAGAUGCUAGCUGCUGGAAUGGUAAAACGUGCCUGUGCCAUGUGGGGAUAGUAACUGUACAGGAUGGCCUGCAGAAGUCCAUAAAACUUAGACUGGUUUCUCUCAGGCAACUAUUAUUGAAAGAAAGCCGUUUUAACUGACUUCCUCCCAGUCUAAGUUCUUAUGAUUUACACCAUUUUACUUUUAAGUGAAAAUAAGCCUCCCGGGCUAGUUAUAGCUGAUUAGAUCCAAAAAACCAUUUAUAGGACACAGUUUACCACUUAGCAUUUCCACAGGAGGGAAACUGCCUGGAAGGAAGUUGGGCAAGACAGUUGAACAAUGAGUGCACCUAAGUGGAUGGGCUCAAGAAGACCCAAUCAAAUCUUCCCUUUGUGUUUAAGGGUUGCCAGAAGAAUAAAGGGCGGAGACUUCUUUGAGCUCUGUAGGAACCAUAGAGAAUGCCGAGCAACUCUUUGGAAACUGAAUCUGCCGCUCUGCAGUGCAGAACGGGGAGCUGGAAAUCUAGUGUGGGCUAUACAGUGUUAACUUUCACACGAUCUCAUGCUCUCUUCUGUAUUUUCUAUCAAAUCCCUAUUACUUAGGUAACAGUAUCCUUCUUCCGGGGCCUAUAUGAACCCGAUAGGUACUAUAAUAUCUAACUCAUAAAACUCAGAAGAAUCAGUGAAAUGCAGCUUCCAUAGCUUCUAGCCAUGGCGCCCAGGGCACAAUAAAGAGCGAUCUGACACAUUCAGAA